rnacentral:lncRNA from 1 species
AGUGAAGAACUAUGACAUUAAAAGUGUUGUCCUCUUUAUGAUAGACUUAUCUAACAUGUUCUUCUAAUGAUACAUUAUCAAUAGGAAGAUUGUGAGGAUUAGACUACUUAGGUACAUAUACAAUCCAUUUAAGACAAUCUUUGGGAUUGUGGUACCAAGUUCGGAAACUAAAGCAUUCGGCUUUUCUUUGUCAAGUUUUGGAUAGCGUUUGCAAAUAUAUUGGUAAACAAAU